ACUCAAAGGAAUAGACGGGGACCCGCACAAGCGGUGGAACAUGUGGUUUAAUUCGAUGCAACGCGAAAAACCUUACCUGGUCUUGACAUCUAUGGAACCUGGACGAGAGUUCGGGGUGCCUUCGGGAGCCAUAAGACAGGUGCUGCAUGGCUGUCGUCAGCUCGUGUCGUGAGAUGUUGGGUUAAGUCCCGCAACGAGCGCAACCCACGUCAUUAGUUGCCAUCAUUUAGUUGGGCACUCUAGUGAGACUGCCGGUGUUAAACCGGAGGAAGGUGUGGACGACGUCAAGUCAUCAUGGCCCUUAUGACCAGGGCUACACACGUGUUACAAUGGCCGGUACAAUGGGCUGCUACUUAGCAAUAAGGAGCCAAUCCCUUAAAACCGGUCUCAGUUCGGAUUGCAGGCUGCAACUCGCCUGCAUGAAGUCGGAAUCGCUAGUAAACGCAGAUCAGAAUGCUGCGUUGAAUGUGUUCCCGGGUCUUGUACACACCGCCCGU
rnacentral:rRNA from 1 species